rnacentral:tRNA from 1 species
AUUCUUGUAGUUAAAGAUUGAUAACGGUGAUUUUUCAGGUCGCAAAUCUCGGAUAAAGGCCGAGCAAGAAUU